rnacentral:tRNA from 1 species
GUCUCUGUAGCGCAAUUUAUAGCGCGUUGGAUUUGUAAUCCAAAGGCCGUUGGUUCGAAUCCCACAUGGGAUG